ACACCCGAAGUCGGUGAGGUAACCUUUUGGAGCCAGCCGCCGAAGGUGGGGCCAAUGAUUGGGGUGAAGUCGUAACAAGGUAGCCGUAUCGGAAGGUGCGGCUGGAUCACCUCCUUU
rnacentral:rRNA from 1 species